rnacentral:lncRNA from 1 species
UCUCCAACGUGAUAAACAGGUAAAGGUAGGCUAGCUUGCCAUCUCUCUUCGGAAAGGGAAUAAGUUCUCUUUCAAGGACGCUCGAAGGUUUUUAGGUCUACUGGAGAGCAUUAGACCGGUGGUUGCGUGUAUAUUAUAGAGAUAUACAGUCCUUGUUUAAGUGGGGAGAUCGAAAUUUUCCGAGAAGGGAUUCAAUUGUUAUUUCUACGAGUGCAGAGGUGCAAUUAAGGUGGUGGUCAACCUUUAUUACGAGAAAUAUCAAAAGGUAUUUGGAAUGAAAAGCACAAAGUUUUGUAAUUUUUUUUGGUUUGGUGUUAUUCUCUGAGCAAAUAGGAUGCGGACAUAACAAUUGUAUAUCUACCUCGCUCGUAAAAUAGAAAAUUAAUACAGCUCCUAGCUAUCAGCUCUGCUAGCUAUAUAACACUGUCCAACAGAAAAACUGGUACAAAAACUGUAAUCAAUCUGUUCGAGGUACAACAAAAAGUUCG